AGCCACCGCCACCACCAACCCCAUCUCCUCCACCACCGUACGUCAAACCACCGCCACCUCCAACCCCUUCGCCCCCACCACCGUACGUCAAGCCACCACCGCCAACCCUAUCGCCCCCACCACCGUACGUCAAGCCACCACCACCACCAACUCCAUCGCCCCCACCACCUUACGUCAAGCCACCACCACCACCAACUCCAUCGCCCCCACCACCUUACGUCAAGCCACCACCACCACCAACUCCAUCGCCCCCACCACCUUACGUGAAGCCACCACCACCACCAACUCCAUCGCCCCCCCCACCACACAUCCAGCCACCGCCACCACCAACUCCAUCGCCCCCACCACCAUACGUCAAGCCACCGCCACCGCCAACCCCAUCUCCCCCACCACCACAUAUCCAGCCACCGCCACCGCCAACUCCAUCGCCCCCACCACCAUACGUCAAGCCACCGCCACCGCCAACCCCAUCUCCUCCACCACCACACAUCCAGCCACCACCACCACCAACUCCAUCGCCCCCACCACCAUACGUCAAGCCACCGCCACCGCCAACCCCAUCUCCUCCACCGCCACCAACCCCAUGU
rnacentral:lncRNA from 1 species